rnacentral:lncRNA from 1 species
AUUGUCUAUACAUAGUGGCUGUGAGUCGGUCUGGCUAAUUGUCUAUACAUAGUGGCUGUGAGUCGGUGUGGCUAAUAGUCUAUACAUAGUGGCUGUGAGUCGGUGUGGCUAAUAGUCUAUACAUAGUGGCUGUGAGUCGGUGUGGCUAAUUGUCUAUACAUAGUGGCUGUGAGUCGGUCUGGCUAAUUGUCUAUACAUAGUGGCUGUGAGUCGGUCUGGCUAAUUGUCUAUACAUAGUGGCUGUGAGUCGGUCUGGCUAAUAGUCUAUACAUAGUGGCUGUGAGUCGGUCUGGCUAAUAGUCUAUACAUAGUGGCUGUGAGUCGGUCUGGCUAAUAGUCUAUACAUAGUGGCUGUGAGUCGGUCUGGCUAAUAGUCUAUACAUAGUGGCUGUGAGUCGGUGUGGCUAAUUGUCUAUACAUAGUGGCUGUGAGUCGGUCUGGCUAAUAGUCUAUACAUAGUGGCUGUGAGUCGGUGUGGCUAAUUGUCUAUACAUAGUGGCUGUGAGUGUGUGAGAGAUAAGAACACAAUGAUUAGUCCUAAAUGUCCUGAGACAUCACACUGAGACAACAGAACAGAGAAGGUCAGAACAGUACAGAACAGAGCAGAACAGAACAGAACAGAGCAGAGCAGGUCACAACAGAAAAGAACAGAGCAGGUCACAACAGAAAAGAACAGAGCAGAGCAGAACAGAGCAGAACAGAACAGAGCAGAGCAGGUCACAACAGAAAAGAACAGAGCAGAUCAGAACAGAGCAGGUCACAACAGAAAAGAACAGAGCAGAGCAGAACAGAGCAGAUCAGAACAGAGCAGUGCAGAACAGGUCAGAACAGAACAGAAAAGAACAGAGCAGGUCAGAACAGAAAGGAACAGAGCAGGUCAGAACAGAACAGAACAGGUCAGAACAGAACAGAGCAGAGCAGAGCAAAGCAGAACAAGUCAGAACAGAGCAAAGCAGAACAGAACAGAACAGAGCAGAACAGAACAGAACAGGUCAGAACAGAGCAGAGCAGAACAGGUCAGAACAGAACAGAGCAGAACAGAACAGAGCAGAGCAGGUCAGAACAGACCAGAGCAGGUCAGAACAGUGCAGAGCAGUGCAGAGCACAACAGAGCACAACAGAGCAGGUCAGAACAGUGCAGAGCAGAACAGAGCAGAACAGAGCAGAACAGAGCAGGUCAGAACAGUGCAGAGCAGAACAGAGCAGAACAGGUCAGAACAGAGCACAACAGAACAGAGCACAACAGUGCAGAACAGAGACCUUAAUAACUACAGGCUUAUCUCUGACACACAACACCUAAGCUACACUCAUACACAGUCUGACUGUGACACAGGAUUUUAUCAGCGAAACUAAUUCAAAUAUGUCAAUCUCUUACAGAUCCUAAAGUAAACACAGGUAACCUCCAUUUGCACUGUGGUUUCCUUGUUCAUAUGUCUAAGUUCAUGUCAACAUCUCUCAACGUCUAGAUUCCAAACGGUGCCAGUCGGCCCUGAGUGUCAAACAGACCAGGGGACGAGGCCCCGCCGGCUGUCUGAGGAACGGACCAGGGGACGAGGCCCCGCCGGCUGUCUGAGGAACGGACCAGGGGACGAGGCCCCGCCGGCUGUCUGAGGAACGGACCAGGGGACGAGGCCCCGCCGGCUGUCUGAG